CCCAAAAGCUUAUUCAUUUCCCGCUUUUCCUCUUUGCCCUUCUCUGGUUCCCGCUUCUCUCUCCUUCCCCUCUCUGGUUCUGUGCUCCUUCCUCUUCUCCAGUUCAUAACAAGGCGUGGAAUUAAACAUUGACAUCACACACCGCCGCUGCUUUUCCCCCGCCGCUGCUUUUCCCCCACCGACGACACUUCCUCUUCCAGCCGUGGGUUAAAAACCCUAAUUUGUAAUUGUAACCUUCUUGUUGAUGUUGAUUGAGAUUCUAAAUUUUUACAAUUGCCUUUUGGUACGUUGAUAUAUGGGAAGUAAUUAUCCAGGCAUUUGAGAAGGAUCAUAUAUUCCUUGAACUUACCUAAAAUAGCAGGUCCAAAAGACUCAGCAACAGCGUGCAGAGCUUGAUCACAAGGAAGCUGACAUCAAAAGAAAGAAGUGCAGCUUUAUCAGCAGCAAAGUAUGCAGAAGCUUGUCUAGAACUAGGAUUGGAGGGGAAUAAUGUGAGAUUAGAACUGAGGGCUGUGGCAUUUGAUGAAGUGAUGAAAUGUAAGGGCUUGUUAUCAUUGAUGUUAUUGUCCUUGAUAUCAUUUCUUUCCGCCUCGCUGAUAACAAAGACGAAGCACUACCCGGACGCAAACUACAAGUACUGUCAGCAUGAUUCAAACAUUGCCACGGGAUAUGGAGUUGAGUUGGUGCAUUUUUAUGCCUUCAGGCUAGCCAAGCGGUUGUUAUGGCAGUAAGCUGAAGCUUCUGUUGUGGUGCGACUCUCUUUCCUGGAGGAUUAAGGGCGUAUACUAUCAUUCUUUUCAUUGUCUGUUGGUAUUCAAUAAUCCGAGGGAGCGGCCUUUCACCUUUGAGGAGAUAAAUGAAGUUCGAGAAAAAUUGGCAAACUUCAUCACCAGUGAUUGUCUUUGAUAUUUUCUUGUAAACUGAAUCUUAAAUUAUGAAUGUUAGUUUUUCAUAUGAUUGUAAUGUAAUUGACUUUUAUAUUUAUAAUUAUAUACUAUUUAAUUUAA